GGUGGGGUAGCGAAGUGGCUAAACGCGACGGACUGUAAAUCCGUUCCUUCUGGGUUCGGGGGUUCGAAUCCCUCCCCCACCA
rnacentral:tRNA from 1 species